AUGAGGGAUCAUUUAGAACAAGACAGCCUGCCCGUCAAGGGGCACGGGAAUCCCAUCAGCCAUGAGUGCCUUGGACAUAACGGUAGCAGGUGCUCAAGUGUGGCAAGUGGGCUAAACGGUUCAGAAACGAGUAUAUUUUUAACAAAACUGCACGAUGAGAUCGACUUCGGUGAGGUAGAUGAGAGGGUUCAAGAACGCGUCCUCCAGACUAAAGUCAAGGGGCACGUGAAUCCCAUCAGCCAUGAGUGCCUUGGACAUAACGGUAGCAGGUGCUCAAGUGUGGAAAGUAGGCUAAACGGUUCAGAAACGAUAUUUUCAACAAAACUGCACGAUGAGAUCGACUUUGGUGCGGUAGAUGAGAGGGUUCAAGAACGCGUCCUCCAGACUAAAGUCAAGGGGCACGGGAAUCCCAUCAGUCAUGAGUGCCUUGGACAUAACGGUAGCAGGUGCUCAGGUGUGGCAAGUGGGCUAAACGGUUCAGAAACUAGUAUAUUUUUAACAAAACUGCACGAUGAGAUCGACUUUGGUGAAGUAGUAGACGAGAUGGUUCAAGAACAUUUCCUCCAGACUAAAGUCGAGCCAUUUUUAGAAAAACUUCAUCAGCAAGCCACUAACGUUGUGGUCAGCUACAAUGACAUGGACGAGAAAGAGCUUAAGAGGUACCAGCAGACCAGACAUGUAAUCCUCCAUGUCCCAACCCUGCAAGAGCUCCUUCUAAAGAUCGGCUUUAGCAAAAAUAUGGAAGACCUUCAGAGCUACCUGAUUGCCGCCGACCGGACGUGCUUGUUGUCUGAGAACGAAGCCCUGAAGCUGGAGCUGAACGACGCUCAGAGCAGACACCAGACGGUGGUCAGCGGCCUUCACUCCUCCCUCCAGUCAGUCGAGCAUGAGAACAAGGGAGCCCAGUACACUUUGCACCAGAACAUCAGACACCAACAGGACAGGGUGAUUUUGAUGGAGGGAAAGCUAAGUGAAUCCGAGAGGCAGGUCAUCUCACUGCAGCGGUAUCUACUGGAAAGCACCGACAAAGCUCAGAUUCUGCAGAAGACCCUGAGCAGCUGCAAGUCGACCCUACAGUCUGCAGAGCAGGACAUGGAACUGACAAAGCAGAGAGGACUCGAUCUGCAAGCUGCACACAGGGCCUCACAGGACAACAACCAAUCGCUGAGACGCAGCCUCCUCGGUGCCGAGGAGCACGCAAAGUCUCUCAGACACAGCGUCGGCGAACUCGAGCAGAAGAUCGAGCUCCAGCAGAAGAACCAAGCGUCCGAAGAAGAGGUGGUCAAAGCCCUGAGACGCAGGGUGGAUGAAUCGGAGGAGAAGGUCUCCUCCCUGGAGGGGAGCCUGAAGGCUUCUGAAGAGAGCGUCUCGUCACUCAGGCAGAGCCUGAGAGCAUCGGAAGAGAAGGCCGCCUGCCUCGGGCAGAGCCAGAGGACCUCCGAGGAGAGGUGUCGUUCUCUGCAGCUCAAACUCAACUCGGCCGAGGAGGCCGUCCGAGCGACCCGGGGCUCCCUCGCAGUGGCGGAGUCCGAGGCCGAGAGGCUGAAGGAGGCUCUGGGCUCCUUGGAAGACAAAACCCUGGCGCUGCAGGACACGUUACUGGCCAGUGAGAGCCACUCGAGCGGCGGCGCCGCUCAACGGCGAGCCCUGGAGCGGGGCAAGACGGAGGACCGAGAGAGCCUUCAGGUUCUGAUCCGCUCUCUCGUCGGCUGCGAGGAGGAGCAUCGCAGCCGAGCCAAGAGGCUGGACCUGGAGCUGAGGCUGACCAAGGAGCGGCUGGCCCUGCUGCAGGACAGCGGGAGCCGGACGGAGAGCCGCUACGCCCAGGAGACGGCUCGGCUCCAACACCAGCUCCUCAAGGCCGCCAACAAAGGAACGGCCGCCCAGAAGGAGCUCCGAGCCCACGUGGCCGAGCUAAACACCAAGUUGCUGAAGGCGCAAGCAAGUCAAAACAGAGAGCUGGAGGGGGUUGCAGUGGUUGAGAGGGAGCUGCAAGACACCAUCCUGGACCUCAGACAGGAGCUACACGUUCAAACCAAGGAGAAGGAAGGCGCCCUGCAGUGUCUCAGGAUGACACAGAGGGACCUCGCCGAGGUCCAGCACCACCUACAGGUAGACCUGCUGAAAUGCACCCACGGACGCGAGCCAGAAAGAGGACAGUCCACCGCCAGAGAAGCUGAGCAGAGGGUAAAACCGGACACCCCGAAAGCAACGCUGCGUUCCGUCGACCAUGAACACGUCCUGACCGACGGGCAAAGAAAGAUGGAGUCGGCAAAGGUACACGGUCACGGGCACAGUGUGAGGGAGGGACGCCGGGACGACUCCCCGUGUAGACCGCCCCGCUCGGCGUGGAGGGACACGCCCCCUCCCCCCGCCGACCCACCGGCCCCGAGCUGUGAUUCUACAGGGCCGUCUUCGCCAUGGUCCAACGGAACACCUUUGACUAUGGAUGGAAAGGGUGAGGCCUGUUGCCUUACUCAGCUGAAGCCUGCCGAAUACUUGCAGAAUCUACUAAAGGUGCAGAAAAAGCUCAGGGCACUGCAGUCGAUGGAUCGCCAGAAGACAAUGAACGAGAUGCGUCUGCCAUAA
ensembl:lncRNA